rnacentral:rRNA from 1 species
UACGUAGGUGGCAAGCGUUGUCCGGAUUUACUGGGCGUAAAGCGCGUGUAGGCGGCCAGAUAGGUCUGCUGUGAAAACUCGAGGCUCAACCUCGAGCUGUCGGCGGAAACCAUCCGUCUAGAGUCCGGAAGAGGAGAGUGGAAUUCCCGGUGUAGCGGUGAAAUGCGCAGAUAUCGGGAAGAACACCUGUGGCGAAGGCGGCUCUCUGGGACGGUACUGACGCUGAGACGCGAAAGCGUGGGGAGCAAACAGG